rnacentral:rRNA from 1 species
GACGAACGCUGGCGGCGUGCUUAACACAUGCAAGUCGAACGGUGAUCCCAGGAGCUUGCUUCUGGGUGAGCAUUGGCGAACGGGUGAGUAACACGUGAGUAACCUGCCCCUGACUCUGGAAUAAGCGCUGGAAACGGCGUCUAAUACCGGAUACGAGACGCAACCGCAUGGUUAGUGUCUGGAAAGUUUUUCGGUCUGGGAUGGACUCGCGGCCUAUCAGCUUGUUGGUGAGGUAAUGGCUCACCAAGGCGAUGAAGGGUAGCCGGCCUGAGAGGGCGAUCGGCCACACUGGGAGUGAGACACGGCCCAGACUCCUACAGGAGGCAGCAGUGGGGAAUAUUGCACAAUGGGCGAAAGCCUGAUGCAGCGACGCCGCGUGAGGGAUGACGGCCUUCGGGUUGUAAACCUCUUUCAGCAGGGAAGAAGCGCAAGUGACGGUACCUGCAGAAGAAGCACCGGCUAACUACGUGCCAGCCGCCGCCGUAA